UUGAUCAGGAACCAAAGAGGAAGUUUGGGACAAUCAGAAAGGGAACGACUGAAAAAGGAAUAAUGUAGAGGUUUGCUUUUUAAAAAAAAAUUGCUGGAAAUUCUGGUAACAUCUGAACCUUUCUUAUUUCAAAUUGAUUCCCAUCUAGCCUGCAAGUUGUGGUGAUUGUUUGAUUUCAAUUUUUUUUACAAAAGUGUGAAUACAUGCUUGAUAUACAUACACCAAUUAAUCUGCACAUAGUAAGGGCAAUCACCCCAGCAAGAUAAGAACUGGUUUUCAUCACCAGAUUCUUGCCCAAAUUAGGUGAAUCAAUUCUCACAUAGCUUUCACCUUAAUUGAAAUCAAUUAGACGUUGGCCCCUAGGGACAUUCGAGCUCAAUAGGACGACGAUCACCGAAAGUUGCACCAAUUUCGCUCUGUGGCUCAGUUGAUGUCUAGGCAAGCUUUGUCCCUUUAAGGGAGACAGUUCAUCUGUUCGAAGCAAGUAGUUUUUAAGUGGGACCUUUG
rnacentral:lncRNA from 1 species